UACUCUUUGCUGAUAGUGUAUUCUUGAAACCUGUCAACAACUGUGCCUGGGCUGGGGGAAGCCAGAGGAAACUGUUUUGGAGGUUCUUACAACUGAUGUGUAAGUCAGUUGUCUGAACUGGGUAUUGGGGCAAAAGACUAAUUGAACCAUGUAGUAGCCACUUCUGUCUGAAGUUCCCUUUUUUUUUUUUUGGUUAAUCCUCACUCAGGGAUAUAUUUCCAUUGAUCAUUUUAGAAAGAGUGGAAGAGAGAGGGAAAGACAGAGAGAAACAUCCAUGUGAGAGAAACACAUCAAUCGGUUGCCUCCUGCAUGUGUCUGAUAAGGGUCUGGGCAGGGGAGGAGCCUGCAACCACUGUACAUGCCCUUGAACCGAAUCAAACCCGGGACCCUUUGGUCUGCAGGCUGGCGCUCUAUCCACUGAGCCGCUAUGGCUAGUGCUGAAGUUCCUUUAGGAUAGCUGGGCUGGAGCUCUGGCAUGUGAACCCAUGCAGUUUUACCUGGCCAAGUGGAUGAUAAGAGCUCUUGGAGCCAAAAUGAUCUCAAUGUAUUCUCAAACUUUAAGUGAUUAAGA
rnacentral:ncRNA from 1 species